CGCCAGCAGCCCAGAAACCUGGGAAUGAAGAACACUGACCUGUCAACAUGUUUUCCCACAGGACUGACAGGCUGGAGUCAAUCCCAUUGCAGAUUCAGACGAACGGAGGGAUGUAAGCGCUUCCCUGUGAUUGAUCCCCGCUGUGGCUGAAUAAUGGAUGUAUGACAGCCACAGUCUGGUACUCUUCUGGUGAAUGGAAGCGAUGGCAGGGAAGAACAAAGUCCACGGUGGACAAGUACGACUGACCUUGGGAACUACAGAACACAGCUGGGCCCGGAUCACGGCACGGCUUCUGCACAAUAUGUGGGUUUCGGCAGGGAUUGGCAGAAGCAAUUUACAGAUCAAUCGGCACAGCGGAGGCUCCAGUGUUCUGCUCCAACCUCCCCUCCACCCUGUGGCAUGGCUGACUUGCUAUUAUGGCUGCUGUUUAUCUAUGAAAGGGUGAACUUGAACAUUUCACUUCUAAUGUAUCCUGCUCAGCAGUUAAAAUGUGACACCCUGACAGACUCAACACUCUCCAUAAUAGACUCUCCCUCUGCCCCAGAGAGAGAGAGAGAGAGAGAGAGAGAGAGAGAGAGAGAGAGAGAGAGAGAGGGCUCCGGGUUCCCCAACCCAAUCAGAGGUCUAGGAGCAGGGCUUUUUUCUUCUUUUUUUUUACACAAACAAAAAUGUUCAUGGCUCAACACCCAGUGGCAACACAAGAUGCGAUUUCUUUUCCCAAACAGCCGUCGGGGCCCCUAGCACGUCUUAUCAGCACAGAACAGAGGGCCGCUGCAGCCCAGGCAAUUUAACCCCUGCGAUAGACAUGGCAAUUCUCUGAAUUGGAGGACGAGGAUGGAGAAAAAGAGAACGAGGAGCGAAACAAGGAAUGAGAACCUGGAAGGAGUGAGGGGUGGAAUGCGCGCGCGAGGACAGUACGCGUUUGCGCAUGUUGAAAGAAGCCGUCCAGUAAUCUAGCUGCCAUGUUGAAAAGCAUUUGGGUUCUACAAGCUCUCUCAGAGAGGCGUUCUUGUGUGUUUGAGAGAACAGAAAAGACAGGUGAACAUUUAGCUUCACGUUGUGGGAUUGGACAGCUGAUAGCAAUCCCGCAAUUUCCAUGUCCUCCACGAGUUUCCGUGUCAGAUAACAUGGAAGUGGGGAUUGGUUGGUCAUCCGAGCCGUCUCUAUACUACACCAUGGUAUGCUUCUGUGUAGGACAUUGGGGUUCAUUUUAUCAUCUGUCGGCAGUAAGAAGUGUCAACUGGGUUCUUUUGAAAGGCCCAACUAAAUUUUUUGUUUGUCAACGCACCAGUCUCCAGUCACUUUGUUCUUAUGCUUAAGCCAGUGUUGUAUUGUGUUUGUUAUCACACUUCAAGUAAUACAUCUUCAAGUUUAUUUUUUUUAUGGCUCUUGGGGUUUGCAUCUUGAAACCUUGUAUUUUCUUUCAAUAACUCAUAAUCAGGGUUUAGUGAAAUUCGUCCUGGGUCUUCCCAGGGGUGAACAUUUUACUGUUUGUCCUGGCACCGAACAGAUGAUUUAAUCCUUAUAAUCUGGAUGAGUUAUUAUUUAAAUCAACUGUUUAGUGCAAAAUGCUCACCUCAAAGAGACCUCACGACUGAGUUUGGGAAACCCAAUUUUAGGCCAGUGAAAACAAGAUUUCUCUGCAAUGUCCUGAUUUUCUAGAAUUCUGUAUGAACGCUGGAUGAACCUAAAGUUCUAUAAU